rnacentral:rRNA from 1 species
GGCUCCUUGAAUUUAAAAAAUAGGGAGUCGGACCUGCCCGGUGAAUUUUUUUAACGGCCGCGGUACUCUGACCGUGCAAAGGUAGCAUAAUCAUUUGCCUUAUAAUUGAAGGCUUGUAUGAAUGGUUUGACAAGAAUGUAGCUGUCUCUUUAUAACUAUUUAGAAUUUUAUUUAUGGGUGAAGAAGCCCAUAUUAAAAUGAUAGACAAGAAGACCCUAUCGAGCUUUAAAAAAGUUGGUAAACCUGAAAUUAAUAUUAAUUAGAAAAUAAUUUAUCAAAAAUUUUGGUUGGGGCGACAGAGGAACAAACGAAGCUUCCUUUAUAUAAUAAAUAACAGACAGGUAUUGAUCCAAAAGCUUUGAUUAAAGAAAUUAGUUACCGUAGGGAUAACAGCAUUAUCUUUUUUGAGAGCCCUAAUCGAAAAAAAGGUUUGUGACCUCGAUGUUGGACCAGAAUAUCCUAAAGAUGUAGCCGUCUUUAAGGGUUGGUCUGUUCGACCAUUAAAAUUCU